AUCCCGUUUCCCUGCACGCCCGUCACCCUAGUUCCACAGUUAGAAGUGUACGGGCAAGCAGAAUUCCGGUCCCUCAUUGUACCAUCCCCUAAUCACCAGGACAAAUGGGCAGUCUUUCUCCCAAUAAUAAUAGGUCUCUCUCUAGCACCUUCCCUUGCAGCAACCGGAAUACAGGGUGGGACCAUGGGUUACAGCGUCAAUACAGCUGCCCAACUAGAAGACAAACUUCGUGUGGCUACUGAAGCAUCAGCUGCCUCUUUAGCCUUGCUCCAGCGACAACUUACUUCACUGGCGCAGGUUUUUACAAGCCCGUCUAAGAGAAAUUUCCAGGGUAGCUGUAAACCAAAUGUUACUUCACCCAUACGUCCGGACACAACGGCCAGCCAACUGACCUCCCCACUCCACCACCGUUCAACAGGAAGUAGUCAGAAAGAAACAGUGCCCUAUGUCAUCAAAAAGGUCUACAUUCAGCACUAGACUAUGCACUCUCAGCACCAAGCUAUGCAUUUGAACCUCAGCACUAAACUAUACAUCUGAACCCACGAAAAUUGAAGAUAUCCUGCCAAGCCUUACCCAAUGGCAGCCCACCCCAUGCAUCCUAGGCCAGGCCCCCCACUAACCCCCAUAAAACCCCCUGCCCUGAGAAGUCAAGCGUGACUUCUCUGGCCCUCUUUCCUUAGGACCACAGAACCUCGCCCAGGAGAUAAAUAAAUUGGCAUCUGAUUGUUCUUAUACUGGCCUCAGUUUCCUUUUCAACUCGGCAGUAACCAUUACAAUCAUCCCAGAAAAUAAAAUUAACCUAUCAGAUUCUCUAGCUCUGAGUACAUAUAUGUUCUUAUUUUCACUCAUCCAUUUUAUGCAAUGACAGUUUUUGUGAUAAAAUAACUUCAACAUGCAAUAAAGGAGAUAAUCUCUUCUUUGUCAUAUACUGCAUCUACCCACUUAAUUUUUAUUCUUAUACUUCAGGAAGCUGGAUGCUCUUAACUUAUAUAGUUCAGUUUUUUCAAUCUCUGCUUGUCUAAUCCUUUGCAAUGUGUUAAAAUAUUGGCGAUAUAACAGAAUUUGUCCAAUUUCAAUAAUAAAAUCAUAGAAUAUUAUAACCAGAAGGAAUCUUAGGAAUCCUGUUAGCCACCCCCUCAUUUUGUAUAUGAGAACACUGAGGACCAGUAACCAGAAUGCUGGUCAAACUCUGCCAUGCCAGUUAAUGUUUCCUUCAGAAACACUAGUACCUACUGCAGGAAAAAAAAUCAUUACAAAAUCCACACAUUAGAAAAGUCUUUCAAAUACUAUGAUUUUUUUUUAAGGAUGAUUUUGGCCAUGUCACUUUUAUAUGGUGUCCUUGCAAUACAGGAAAAGAUGCUACCAUCAUUCAGCAACUGAAGGAUAAAGGACCUCGCUAGGGAUACAGUGGACUCUGUGAUAUUCAGUGGUUGAUCUAAUCACAGCACCCCAGGCAGCAAGGUAGCAUCCUGGAGUUAAUGUGAUGCUUUCCAAGCUUCUAACUCAUUCAUUCAUGUUCAUUGAGCCCCUCUCCUGGGUAAAUUUCAUUAAGUCCUUAUGAGAAAUGAAAUUAGGAAAAGUAUAACUUGUCUACAAAAUAAUAAUUAAAUUUCACUUAAGAGGAAAGCAUGCAUCUCUGAUUCUACUAGCACAACACUGGGACAAAAUGGGAUACAUAGCUUAUGUUAAAACAAAAUACCAACAACAACAAACCUAAGCAUAAAUUCAGGAAAGUAAAGUGAUAGGACAGCAGUCAUCCUGUAUGCUAAGUGAAAAACUCCACUGAAGAUUUGCAUUUUAUCUUUGCAUCUAGCCUUUGUCAAAAAGAGCAGCUCCUUCUUUGAUGGGCAGGCUACUAAAUACUACCAUCCAUUGUCUACAUUCAAAUGUAAUUAGUCUCUGUUUGAAAGAAACAUUUAAGACUGAGUGACUUGGGGGGAGGGAGAGGAAUGUAAGUAAUCCUAUUUUUACAUUCAACCAAACAUGAAGACAACAAGAAAACCUGCAAGGAAAAGCAAUGAAAUUAUUUUCACAGUAUGUGAACAUCAUCAUUCACUGCUAGUCUGUCACUGCUAGUCUGUCACAAUAUGUCUUUAAAAAUUUUUGAUUUCAGUACUUUAGAUUUCAGUCCCUGUAUGACAACCUGUAAAACAUCAACAUGAACUAUGGAAGGAUCACAUAACCCUGAAUACUACAAGAGGAAGUUGAUCAGGUUUAGCUUCAUAUAUUUACAGUUAAAAUAGAACACAUGAGAAAAUCUUUUCAGAGACAAAGGAACUAGCUUUAUAAAGGCACAUUCAGAAAUAUAAAAUAACUGAUAGAUGUAAACUUCUGCAAUUAAUUAAUUUUCUGGAUUAGUAUAAAUAAUAUGAAAAACAGUUCUGGUAUCUUAUCAUUUAUUCAUCAAACAUUCAUAUGCAAUAUAUGAGAAGCUGGGGCAGGGGUGUAAAAAAAAUGAACAAAGCACAAAUAUACCCACUUUCAUGGAACUUACAUUCUAGACCAGGGUUUGGGGAGGAGAGCAGAUGAUAAAUAGCAACAAAUAAAGAUGAGGCCCCUAUCUUGUGGGGCUCACAAUCAAGUUGGGAGAAAAAUAUAUAAAAAUAAAUAGCCACAUGAAGAUUAAAAGAAGCAAAGAAAGCUCUGUACAUAGGGAUAGUAAGUCUUUGGUUGUUUAUUACCCUGUCUUCAUUUGAAGAGUUGUGGUUUCUAUAAAGACCAAUCCAAAGCCAAGAAUUACACUGUGUUGAUGAUACCAUUUAUAAAUGAGAGCCAGUAGAGAAAAUAUGUAAGAAAGUAUGUCAAAGUCCUAGGAAGUUAGGGUACUCUAGAAAUUUCCCUAAUAAUUAAGGGUAAAAAAUAAUCUGUUGCGGAGGAUACAAGAUGGCAGAUUAGACACAACUCCAGUGCACAACACCCAGCAAGAGAGACGCAGAAACCCAGAGAUCUCCUAGCUCCAACCGAGGUACCAGGUGCGUUUCAAUGGGUCUGGUCCGAGGGUGAGCAAAGCCCACUCAGGGCAGACAGAGGCGGGGAGGGGUGCCACAACAAACCUAAGCUUAAAUCCAGGAAAGUAAAGUGAUAGGACAACAGACAUACUGUAUGCUAAGUAAAAAACUCCACUGAAGAUUUGUAUUUUAUCUUUGCGUCUAGCCUUUGUCAAAAAGAGCAGCUCCUUCAUUGAUGGGCAGAAAGUGCAUCUGACUGGCG
ensembl:lncRNA